GUGGGGAAUUUUGGACAAUGGGCGCAAGCCUGAUCCAGCCAUUCCGCGUGCAGGAUGAAGGCCUUCGGGUUGUAAACUGCUUUUGUACGGAACGAAAAGCCUCUGGUUAAUACCCGGGGGUCAUGACGGUACCGUAAGAAUAAGCACCGGCUAACUACGUGCCAGCAGCCGCGGUAAUACGUAGGGUGCGAGCGUUAAUCGGAAUUACUGGGCGUAAAGCGUGCGCAGGCGGUUUUGUAAGACAGGUGUGAAAUCCCCGGGCUCAACCUGGGAAUGGCGCUUGUGACUGCAAGGCUGGAGUGCGGCAGAGGGGGAUGUAAUUCCGCGUGUAGCAGUGAAAUGCGUAGAUAUGCGGAGGAACACCGAUGGCGAAGGCAAUCCCCUGGGCCUGCACUGACGCUCAUGCACGAAAGCGUGGGGAGCAAACAGGAUUAGAUACCGGGUAGUCC
rnacentral:rRNA from 1 species